rnacentral:lncRNA from 1 species
GUCCGGCCCAAAAUAUGUUUUCUCCGAACGGACCAUUAGAGUGAACAAGCCUGCAGUCUCCGACGCGCUGUCUCGCCCACGCACGUGCAUACGCCGCUAAUCUUCCAUCCCAUUCUAACGGCGGUUCUCCCACGCGCGCUCGUACGAGGUUAUGUGCGUAUAGAAACUCAAUGCUCGCUCUGUUUACUUUGUUACGAUGUCGUCUUCUCCCCCACCUGAAGGAGGAAUGUUUUCCGGUUAACGACAGAGCUGAUGAAGACAGAAAUCGUGAAUUUGGCGCUGACGGAGAGCUGACGGAGGUUUGUUUAGACGACUCGCUGUGAUUGAUUUGGGACGUCGCGGCACAGAGCUGAAGGAGGAAUAACGUAAUGGCGAUGAAUAUGGGAAACGGAGCUAGUAAUUCCCGUUGACGAAGCUCCAUUUUUCUAAAUAGAAAAGAAACAAAAGAGGGUAUAAUAUUUUUACAGGAGAGUUAAUUACUCAAUUGCAGGUGAAGGUGUAAUUAACUCUCCGAUAGGAUUUGUUGAGAGGGAAAACGAAUCAAUAAGUAAUUGUUUCUAUUUAUGAACGUCAAAUGUAAAUAUAUCGUUUGCAUGAGUCAACGCACGGUGAAUAUUGAAUACCGGAAUGCCGCUAAUGUUAAGUAUUGCCUAAAUGUGGUUUUAAUUUUAGUCAAAACUUAACAUUAAGGUUAAAGUAAAGGUGAGAUAUUGUUUGUUAUCCAAAAUUUGAUCCGUAAUCUGCAUUGAUCUAUAUAUAUUUCAAAGGUUAUACUAACGAUCGAUGACAACUUUCUGUUCCGAUAAGUUUGACGAUUAUGAAAAUCAUUCGAGUUUCUUUAAUUAAAAAUUGAUGCAAAGUGACUAUUAGCUUAUAUAUAUCUUUGGUAUAGUUUCCUUUAAGCUAACCAUUGGUUUAGUGUGGUUUGGUUUCCUUUUGCUUAACCAUUAGAGUAUAAAUACAUAACAAUGUAUGCUUUCUACGGUUAAUGAGAAAGUUUAUUUUCAUCAUCUUCUUUUCUUCAAUAUGGUAUCAGAGCCAAAAUGGAUCCUCCAUUGAUUCUGUUACUCGAGCUUUCUUCUUCACCAUGAGUGUUUCGAUUUCGCAGUAUCUUUCUGCUCUCUGUACUCGCUACGUGAUUCUUCUGCUCGAGUUUCUGGGAUUCGUUUCGACCGUUUUCUUCUUUGUUGUUCUUCGAUCAAGCAAACUGGUUCAUCAUUCAUUGUUCUGCUUGUGUACGUCGAUGAUAUCUUGAUAGCUUCGAACAAUGAUGAGGAUCUUACGGCACUUAAGAAGAUCUUGCAUAAGGCUUUUAUCAUCAAAGAUUUGGGGAGACCAAAGUUUUUUUUGGGAUUGGAGAUAGCUCGGAACUCUACUGGAAUCUCGGUAUGUCAAAGAAAGUAUGCUCUAGAUAUCCUUGAAGCUACAUGCAUGCUGGCUUGUAAGCCAAGUUCUAUACCGAUGGAUCCAACACUCAAGCUUACUCGCACAUCUGGAAAGCCUUUGAAGAACAUUACUCAAUACAGAGAGUUGAUUGGUCGUCUUUUAUAUUUGACCAUCACCAGACCAGAUAUCACUUAUGCAGUGAAUAAUCUGAGUCAGUUUCUCUCUUGUCCUACUGACGUUCAUCUGCAGGCUGCGUACAAGGUCUUGCGGUAUAUCAAGUCAAAUCCGGGUCAAGGCUUGUAUUAUGCUGCAGAUACAGAGCUCUGUCUCAAUGCUUUUACUGAUGCAGACUGGGCUACUUGUCCUGAAACACGACGAUCUAUCUCUGGUUACUGUGUUUAUCUUGGGACUUCGCUUAUCACAUGGAAAUCUAAGAAGCAACAGACUGUGAGCCGUAGUAGUACUGAAGCUGAAUACAGAAGCAUGGCGUUGGCUACGUGUGAACUGCUUUGGCUUGCUCAGUUACUGAGGGACUUCAAGGUCACAGUUACAGCACCAGCAAAGUUGUUAUGUGAUAACAAAUCAGCUAUGCAUAUCGCUUCUAAUCCGGUCUUUCAUGAGCGUACGAAGCACGUUGAGAUUGACUACCAUACUGUCAGAGAUCAACUGAAGCGGGGGUUCCUGAAGCUCUUUCACGUCUCUUCAUCAAAUCAGCAUGCUGAUAUACUCACCAAGCCUUUGCAUCCGGGACUUUUUCACUCUCUUCUUGCUCGGAUGUCACUUUCAAACCUCUUUAAGCCACAGUCUUAAACGGUUUGAGGGGGGUAUAUUAGCUUAUAUAUAUAUAUCUUUGGUAUAGUUUCCUUUAAGCUAACCAUUGGUUUAGUGUGGUUUGGUUUCCUUUUGCUUAACCAUUAGAGUAUAAAUACAUAACAAUGUAUGCUUUAUACGGUUAAUGAGAAAGUUUAUUUUCAUCAUCUUCUUUUCUUCAAUAGUGACCAUAACUAUUGAACUUCGUUAGAUAUAAUGUCAAGCUAUCACACUACAUCAACCACAGUGGUGAUCUUCGCAAAUAGCCAAAAUAACCACUUCAUCGGUUUGUCCCACAACAUACAGAAAACUCAAUUUACAAAUAAACUACAAUAUCUAACCGAGUGAAGACAACAUUCUAAUAUCUCUUGUUCAAGAUAAUUUGGUGAUAAAGUAGAUUAAACCCAAAAUUACUAGUAGUAGUAUUAAAGAAGUAUUCAACCCAAUAAAAUAAAUAAAAAUCGGACCACUGUCUCUAACGUGGCGCUGGAUCUUCGUUUUUGUCUGUUUAAGAAAUAAUAACACGAAAAUUCAUGUGCCCUAUUAGCCUGUAUAAUACACAUUUCCACAGUACUUUACCAAGAUUUACACAAAAAAAUAUUAAUUAGAUUUUGGACGUACUCUACCUUCCUUAAGAUCUACUAGUAUUGUAGAGUACUAGUUUCUAUAGCAUGGUCUUGAAACUUGUUUUCAUAAUCUUGAUCCGACUUAUUCCGUAAACUUGUUUGCAUAAUAAUCUUUAUAAAUCAAAUAGUAGUAUUAAAAAGUUCCAGUAAUUGUCAUUUGUUGGUUCACUAAAAGUAAAUGAAAGCUUUUGGCUAAUUAAAAAAGAUCAUGCACGCUCCCUUUGGCCCAAGAGUUGAAAAACAUUUAAGACGCUAAUAAUACAGCCGACAACACGUGAAGUUUUAUCAACACGUAUUUAAACUCAACCGCUAAAGAUUCACUUGUCCGAAAAACAAAGGUCUCGUCUAAUACAUGAAAUUUGAAAAAAGGAAACAAAGUACAUUAUCCGUACUGGAUCGGGUCGGGUCAGGAUUAAGCACAUCCUCUUGGAGCAAACCCGACUCGGGAACCCAUCAAAUCGUAAACGACCCGGAAACCCUGCUGCUGGAUGUUCCCGAUGAUGGAUAGCCCGCUCAUCGUACCGGCAAAUGCAAAGCAGAACUUGCCGUUAGUAUCCACCGGAAUCAGAUAAUUAGUCGCCGGAAGUGACACGUCAGCUCCACGGAAGUGUAGAACCACCGUCGGAACUUUAACCUCGUUUUGAUGAGAGAGAUCGAAACACGUAUCGAAGAGAGAGUAGUCCGGCGCUCGUUUCAAACUCCUGGCUCUGACCCGGAACGCGUCUCUCAUAGCAACGUAAGCGGGUCGGACCAGCCGGGUCACAGAGGUACCCGAGUCGAUAAUGACUCCACCGUUACCGAUCGGGUCGAGUUUGAAAAGAGAAGCGGCUACGCCGGGGACGCGCGUCCCUCCGACGCUUAUUCCGAGCAGCUCGACGUAGUAGAAUGUAUCAAGCUUCGGAUUCGAUAAGCUAGUUUACUCCUUGGGCAGAUCCUUAGCUUCGUAAUGUUUUGCAGUGUAUCCGAUCUACUCGACUAUAUCAACCCAAGCCAUAACGCAAAAGGGAAACAGAGUGUGGCAGCGAAGAGGAAGAGCUAUAUGAAGGUUUUACUUCUAUUUCUUUCGACAUUUCUCCACUUUAAUGGUUAAAAAUGCUUACAUGAUUGGACCUGUGUUAUUGUGUAGCUAAAGGAAAAAUCCAAUCAGAACGUUGUUUCUGAACAGUUAGCAGAAACCCCAAGGGAAAAUCAAAAGGAAAUGUCUGAAGAGGAGACAGAAGCAACUGGAUCGGAAGAUGGUCAAUCGAGCGAUGCGAAUCAGGAGACAAUUCUUGCAUCAGCUGAAGAACCACCUUCUCCUCCAGUCAUUGAUGAGGCUACUGUGGAUAAUAGUAAUUCAAUUACAUCUGCUGAAGUUUCAACUGAGACACAACACCCUGAUGGUAGUGAAGAUGGAUGGCAGCCGGUGCAUAGACCGAGAUCUGCUGGAUCAUAUGGUCGCCGGCUGAAGCAACGACGAGCAUCAAUUGGAAAGGUAUAUACCUAUCAGAAGAAAAAUGUUGAAGCUGAUAACGAUAACCCUGUUCUCCAGAAUGCUACUCAGCCGAACUCCAAAUACUACGUUCUGAAGAAGCGUACAGCGUCCUCUGCAAACUAUGGAGAUCAUCAUUCUCCCGGUAUGACAACUCAAGGCACCAAAUUUGGCAGGAAGGUAGUUAAAACCUUGGCAUAUCGGGUUAAAUCAAUGCAGCCGUCUUCUGAAAACCCCAAAACUUCAGCUGAAACAUCAGAAGAAGAUGGGUUGAAGACAGAUGCUUCUCCUGCUGUGCCAUCUGGUCUGUCUAGUAAUGUGCAAAAUGAGGCAUACCCGAAAAACUCUGUUGUAAGUCUUGGAAAAUCUCCAUCCUACAAGGAAGUAGCAUUGGCGCCACCUGGUUCCAUUGCCAAGUAUCAAGUCUGGGCUCCACAAGCCGAAGCUUCAGAUAAGCAAGAGGAGAACAAUUCUGAAGAGGGCACAUCGGUUGAGCUUACAAGGGAUGAGCAGAUGAUUACAGUGUCAGAGGAAGAGGUAAAAAAUGAAAUUUCUGCGGACGCAGAGUCUAGCAAACCUCAAGGCAAAGAAGCGAUCAAAGUAGAGUUACAAUCGUCUGAAGUGGAAUUCAAAGGGAACAAUCUGAAUGAAAAUGAAGAAUCUGGUGGGGGCAUUCAGGUGGAAGAACCAGUACUUGAAGCUAACGAAGGUGUAACCGAUAUGAUUCAUUCCACCACAGAGCAAGAAUUGAAAGAUCAGCUGGCCGCUGAUUCCGAUGAUCUGAAGGAAAAACUGGGAAUCUCUGCUACAGACUCCAGCGACGCCCCGCGAGAGUUACUGUUACCUAACAAGAAGUUAUCAGCUUCAGCUGUUCCAUUCAACCCAUCAUCACCUCCAAGUAUCAUACGUCCUACUCCAAUAGGCAUGAAUAUUGGACCGUCGUGGCCAGUGAACAUGACUCUUCAUCACGGACCUCCUCCUUUCCCAUCACCUCCUGCAACUCCAAAUUUGAUGCAGCCUAUGUCCUUUGUAUACCCUCCUCCUUACACUCAAUCAAUCCCCACAAGUACUUAUCCUGUAACCAGUGGUCCUUUCCAUCCCAAUCAGUUCCCAUGGCCUCAUAUGUCGGAGUUUGUACCAAGAACGGUUUGGCCCGCAUGCCAUCCCGUUGAGUUUUCCCCUCCACACAUGAUCGCUCCCGAGCCAAUAGCUUCGACUGUCUUAGAGCCAACCGUCAUUCUACCAACUGAUAUUGAGACUUCAGGUGUGGAAGAAGGCAAGCAAGAUGUGGCGGCAACCGCGGGUGAAACUAUGGAUUCUGUUAAUCAUGUGAAUGUGUUGGCUAGCAGUGAAAUGGAGAAUGGAAACAAGAAAUUUGAGGAAGGCGAGAAGACGUUUAGCAUUUUGUUAAGAGGAAGGAGAAACAGGAAACAAACACUGAGAAUGCCGAUCAGUUUGCUUAACAGGCCUUAUGAUUCUCAACCGUUCAAGAUUGCUUAUAGCAGAGUCAUCAGAGGCAGCGAGGCUCCCAAGUCCGCGGCUUGAAACCAAAGACUCAGCAUCGUCGAUGAAAUUCAUCACUCACACAUCUCUCUCUGAUCCUUGCUGUUUCUUAGGGGACAGUAUAAAAGGUUAGCUUCUUGGUUGAAUCUUUCUAUAUAUAUAUAUAUACACAUGUAUAAUGCAUAUAUGCUAACUUGAUGAUGUCUUCAUUUCAGGUAAUUUCGUUAUCAGUGAAGCUGUGGCUUGUGAUAGUCUCAGAAUGAUUUGAUCUGGAUUCGAAAGAAGAGAGGUUGAAGAGGGAAAAAAGCUAGAACUAUUCUUUUUCUUUUAUUCCAUCUGAGGUGCUGAAGUAUUGUUUUCUGGGUUUUAAUUUUUAAUUCAGCCAAUAAAAAAAUUAGGAAAUUUUGGACAUAAUUUUUUUUCAUAUCCCCUUGUGGCCAUGUUAAAAAAACUUUUGUCAUCUCUUGUUCACUUUUGCGUAUUUGUCAUCAAUUACAUUACAUCUAUCUAAUGGCCUGGCUACGAAAUAUCGUAAUUAUAAUUUAUAAACUUGUUUAUUGAAUCAGUUAUUAGAUGAUAAUACCUCUGAAUAAACCCAAGAUAAGUUUUUUCCAAAAAUAAUAAUAAUACUUCGAAUAAAAAGAAAUAUUAACAACUAAAAAUGCAGAACCAUGGUGUCCUCAGCUUUCGCGCCAUUUUCGAGUUAAAAUGGAUUAACGACAACCGCCGGUGGUUCUUCCCGAAGAAGACCAAUCUGGUCGUGAUAACUUACAAAUGGGUUUUCACCUUCAAAAUUUCCCGGUGGGUUAUAAACACAAAUCGCAUAAAGGCCGCCGUUUGAACAAUCCACACGUGCGCACCCAACCUUCGUGCUAUCUCUCCACACGAUCUGCGUGUAGUGUCCACACAUUUGCCCCGGCUCACACGUGUUACCAUUAACGUCGUAGAACUUAUUUUCAUCGGCCCACACUUUGACGACAUCAAUGGGCCUCCAGUUAUUCUGUCCGGCCCAAAAUAUGUUUUCUCCGAACGGACCAUUAGAGUGAACAAGCCUGCAGUCUCCGACGCGCUGUCUCGCCCACGCACGUGCAUACGCCGCUAAUCUUCCAUCCCAUUCUAACGGCGGUUCUCCCACGCGCGCUCGUACGAGGUUAUGUGCGUAUAGAAACUCAAUGCUCGCUCUGUUUACUUUGUUACGAUGUCGUCUUCUCCCCCACCUGAAGGAGGAAUGUUUUCCGGUUAACGACAGAGCUGAUGAAGACAGAAAUCGUGAAUUUGGCGCUGACGGAGAGCUGACGGAGGUUUGUUUAGACGACUCGCUGUGAUUGAUUUGGGACGUCGCGGCACAGAGCUGAAGGAGGAAUAACGUAAUGGCGAUGAAUAUGGGAAACGGAGCUAGUAAUUCCCGUUGACGAAGCUCCAUUUUUCUAAAUAGAAAAGAAACAAAAGAG